GGAAGGAAUUAUUUUUUAGUCCCACUCAUUAUCUGGGUUCUCAGUAGUUUCCCAUGAUGAGUCAGAAGUUUGUGGGAAGGAAUAAGUGAAUAACCUCUUCAGCCCCUGAAGAAUGAGGAAUGGUAUGUUACUGCAUUGCACAAUGAGUCCCACCAGAGGUUGCCUGUGCAGUUUCACAUCUAGAUGGAGUGCUAGAUCCAAGGUAUAUUUUUCAAAACAGUAACACAGCAUGCAAAGAGAAAUCAAGAGUUGGAAAUCACAAUCACACACUUUUUCUGGCGGCUGAAGAUGAAAUGAAAAAACACGAAUUCAUGUAUCAUGGAGUUGCUGACUGGAUAAUGAAGAUAUUCUCCAGGGGGCUACGGGGGGCUAUAGAAACACUGCCAGGUUGUCUCAGUCUGUUCCCCUCCCCCAUUUCCUCACAGGCUGCUCUGAUUAGCCAGUGGCAGCCAACCCACUCACUUUUGUCUGAGCUCUUUGUUUAACCUCAGGUAUUGCACAAGGCUUGGUGACAUAAAAUUUCUUUGCAGCAUCCCUAAAAGCACACCAGAGAGUUCAUUCAGUUUAGACAAUUUGAAAUGGCGUGAGACUGAUUACAAAAUAUUAUUUCUUUUGUGUUUGCUGAGAAGAACCUUGAUGGGGGUUGGUGCACCACUUAAACACAAUACUCACCCAUCACACCAGACAAUGUACUGGGUCCUCUUAUACUGAUAAUGUCAUAAUUACGCACUUGACUUGAAAAUGAUCAUUCAGAUUGGAUUAUGCUACAAAAACAUUGCAAGAAAUCAUGAUCUUAAUAGGUAUUUUUUGUCUUGUUUGCCAGUAAAAACAUCUAAACAUUUUUAAAACAAGAUACAUUUUCUGAAGAAUUGUGCAAGAUAAUAAUACCUGUUUUCAGACAAUGUAGUAUGUUAAUUUUAUUAUUCUUACUGACUGUAAAGUUGUUGUCUUCUU